CACAAUGGUAGCGUAAGUAGUUCAGCUAUCUCACAGUUCCAGUGUGACCUGCGUUUGAUCGUGUGCUCUUGUGCAUGGCUUCUCUACGAUAGAGUUUCCAAAGUGUACCUUGGCUUCCUCCCACAAACCCAGGCACCUAGUAUCAUCCAGUGAAUCAAGCUAUACUGUUACUGUUGGAUAUGAAAGACUGUGAUGACCAUGACAGUGCAAGUACAAAAACAUGCCAUGAAGAUGCAAAUUAUUACAAAGAAACACCUUUAUUAAACCCAGAUCUGAAUAUGUACACUGAUGGCUCCUCAAUGAUUGAGAAAGGAAUUUGAAUGACUGGGUGAGCCAUUGUUUCUGAAACUGAAUGGCUGGCAUCAGGAAGCAUUCUUCCUAGAACUUCUGGGCUACAGGCAGAAGAAAGAUCAACUAAUAUCUACACUGAUUCUCGUUACACUUUUGGAGUUGUUCAUGAUUUUGGAAACUUAUGCAGACAAAGAGGAUUUCUUAUGUCUGUAGGAACCCGAAGCAAGAAUAGCUAUCUCGUACAAGAACUCUGGCUAACAUGAGAGGUGCUUGGAAGUAGGUAGACAGGAGAUGUCGGGUUAAGUUGGGUUUUUUUUGUGUUUUUUUUUUACGCAGAGAGGAGUGAGUGCAUGGAAUGGGCUGCCAGCCACGGUGCUGGAGGCGGAUACAAUAGAGUCUUUUAAGAGGCUCCUGGAUAGGUACAUGGAGCUUAGAAAAAUAGAGGGCUAUGGGUAACCCGAGGUAAUUUCUCAAGUAAAUACAUGUUUGGCACAGCUUUGUGGGCCCAAGGGCCUGUAUUGUGUUGUAGGCUUUCUAUGUUUCUAUGGAACUCAUGAAAGUCAUACAACUGCUGUCAGAAGUUUCCAUAUUAAAAAGUAAAAGCCACUCCAAAAUGAGUUCAAAGGAAAGCCGUGGAAUUGCAUCUACAGAUGAAGUUGCAGAAAUGGAAAGCAUAGGAAGGGGUAAAAGAAAUAAAAAUACCAAGAACAUAAAAAGGUUUAUUUUAUUGUCAAAGUAUGCAUGUACAAUACAACUCAUCUCUGUCUACUCCAGAUAGCUAUUAAAUACAGAAAGACCAUGGGUGUUGAUGAAAUAAAAGACAUCAACCCCAUACCCCUCGCCAUCAAAAGGAAAAGAAACAAAACUUGCAAAGCCCCUAAAAUCCACCUUCCUCGCAGCAAAAAAAAACAGCAACAAUAACAAUCUCUAACUGGGAAAAGUAGUUCUGGGUGAAGAAUGGUGGAGGGUUAAACAGUGAUGGAGUAUGGCAAUAUUGCCUCCUUAUCUGGCGCAGCAGAUACAUUACCUAGGAGAAAUUGAAGUGGAAAAGAUGAUUGAUGGAUUCUGCCUUUGGUGGAAUCCAAAGUUUAGGAGGCACAAGUUUGACAACUGCUUGAAAGAUACAUAAAAUGCCAGAUAACAAAACCUGGGGCAGCAGAAAAGCAAUUACAAUCAAAUGCUCCUGCCCAACCUGGUCCAUUUUUACAUUUAGAAAUGGACUACACUGCCUUCGCAAAGUGUCAAGGAUACUCAGAUGCACUGGUAAUAGUGGACAAGUUUUCAAGAUGGGUGGAAGGUAUUCCAGCAAGGAAAGCCACAGCCACACACACAGCAAAAACUCUGAUCAAUGACUACGGCAUAUUCCUAGAUGGGGAUUGCCAUGUCACAUCGACUCUGACCAAGGAAAAAAUCUCACUGCUAGUGGUUGUCAGCAAUUAUGUCGACUGAUGAACAUUGAAUUACCUUUUCAUUGUCCACAUCACCCAGAGUCAUCAGGACAAAUCGACCAAUUGAAUGGAAUCAUCAAACAAUGACUGAGAAAGUAUCAUGAGGAAGGUGUACUACAGCCUACAGUUCUUCCUGUGGUCUUAUGUUACAUCAGAGCAAAUGAGAUAACUAAACUAAGUCCAUUCGAGGCAGUUUUAGGGUGUCCUAUGUCACUGCCAUGAACACGCAACCUCAGAGGUUGACAUUAUGGCCAAAAGUGUAGUCGACUAUUAUAUGAAAUGACAUCAAGCUGUACAAUAUACAGUAUUACACUGCACGCAAGCUGAAGUGGUACCCAGCGAGAUUGACAAGUGCUGUGGUUAACAUGAUAGUAACCUCUGACACAGUGAGCAAAUUACGAACCAAAUAAAAGAAUUUGUACAGAGUCAACAGCUGCUGCAUAUUAUUAAGUUUAUUCCCACAUUAGUUGCUGUUAUAUUUUUGCCAAUUUCCCCUACUUACAAUGAAAAUCACUAUCAGUACUGAUAUGCUUUCUUAGAGAUUACAUCUUUUUUAUUUGUAUAAGGGUGAUCAUUAUAAAAUAGUUCAAUCUUAUUCAAGUGAGCCUACUAAUCUACCUACCAAUGAGAUAAUCCAUUUAACAUUUUGAAGAAUGUAUAACUUUUGAAAUUUACAUAACCCAAGUAAAUUUUUGUUCCACCAUCUGUAGUCUUUCUGCUCUUUGCUCUUAGCUACUAGACUGUUGCAGCUCUGUAUUUCCAAUUCUCCUUGCUCUCUUUGUGCUUCACAAAACAAUUGUGAAGUAACAAGUUUCAUGCCUCUUUCGUGACUUCCGUUAAGAACCUUGCAUCAAAAACAUCAGAAUCUAACAACACCAAUGCUUCUACUGUUUGAGCACACCAAUAUUUGUACUGUUCUACAAGUAUCAUACAGCACACAGAUAAACUUAUGCAAUCUGAUCAUCUACAUAUCAUAACCUGGCAAUGAUGUGGUUAUCUGUGGUUGUGGAUCUGGCAGCAGAAGAGCAUGAUAAAAAAUAAAAGGAAGAAUAAGACUGAAGAGGAAUAAGAACAAAAAGAAAAGCAGCAACUUCAAAAAAUCAAUGGAUACAAACACCUGCACCUGCUGCAAAUCUGAAUAGAAAUAUUGGAAGUACUCAGCAGGUCAGUCAGCGUCUGUGGAGAGUGAAACAAAGAUUUUCAAUUCUAAUGAACAGUCAUCAACCUGAAAUGUUAACUCUGGCCCUCUGUUCACAGAUGUUGUUUUGUCUGCUUCAUAUUUCCAGCAUUUUCUGUUUUUAUUUUUGAAAGUUAUUUACUGGCCCAAGAGUUACAGACUCUAUUUUCAAUGAACACAAUCCCAAUUCCACAACAGUUUCCAUCUUUGCUGAAGAUGAUCACAUCUCUACUAGACCACAAGGAAGAUUUAAAAAAAACAAAUUAACACCAUCAACCAUAUUUAUCUAACAGUAAUAGAAACCAUAAAAAUCAUCUAUUAAUCACCCUUUAUAUGCCCUGACAGUAUUCAAUGUUUCCUACUGUUCUAAUGUACCAGUGCAAUGGUAUCCCAGUUAUUGUAGUAUGCUUGGAGAAAGUCUGAUAAAUUCCAAUUGAAUUGACUGCAGAUGACCUUGGAUUGCUCAGGAGCUCUAGACCCAGAAGAUCCAGCUAAGAUACAUCAGUGCGGAACAGAGAGCAGCAAUUGGUAUAUCAGACAACAUCAAGUGCUGGGGCCCUCCGUGAGGAUCAAUGAAUAUGCACGGCACACCACCACUGACUCAAGAUUGCACUGCCAGAUUCGUCUCAAGCCACAUCGUUUGCUGUUGAUAGUAUAGUGUUUGGCCUCAUCAGCAACAAUGAAGAGUUGGCAAACAAAAAGGACAUUGAGAGGCUCCUGUCAAUGUGGACAAGACAAAAGAAAUGAUUAAGGACUUCAGGAAGGCACAAGUUGCCCACUCUCCAUUACACAUCAAUGGCUCUGCUGUGGAGAGAUGUGCACCUAACUGAUGACCUAACCUGGACCCACAACACCUCAUUAGUCAAGGAAGCAACCCAGCAUCUGUUCUUUCUGAGGAGUGCAAGUCUUCUCACCCCAUUCUAACAACUUUGUAAAGGAGCAUCAUCAAGCAUGUCCUAUCUGACUGCAUCAUUGUAUGGCACGGAAGCUGCAAAGCAUUGGACCGCAAGACCCUACAGAGGCCAGUAAGAAUCACCAAGAUGUUCACUGGGGCCUCCCUACCCCCUGUUCGUUAAAUCUACUAGAGCUGUUACAAAGGGCCCAAAGCAUUGUUGAGGAUCCCUGGCACCCAUCUCACAAUCUCUUUGACCCACUGCAGAUAGGUAAGGAGGUAUUAAAACAUUAGGACUGGGACUGCCAGACUGGGUAACAGCUUCUUCCAUCAGACUGUGAGACUAAUGAAUACCCUGCCACCGCCAUGGUCUCAUCACUAGGACACAAAGCUAUUUACUGUACUGUUUACCUGGGCUGCGCUUUACUAUAUGCAGUUUGAAUUAUAUUUUAUUAACAUUUAUAGUAUAAUCUUUUGGUUCAUGUGCUGUGUGUGAUAUAUGUUGUGUGGGUGGACUUGGGCCAGAGGAUG